UUCUAUAAAAUUAUAGAACAUUUUAUGCUAAAACUAGUAACAAGAGCUUACCCCUCUCUACAAUGCAAGUAUAAGCCAGCAAGAACUCAUCACUGGCAAAUAGCAGGCCUAAAUUCAAGUAGCAAAACCCCCCCCCCCCAAAACACUACCUCACCUUAACUGUUAACCUAACACUAGAGCAUUCCAAGAAAGAUUAAAAGGGGGAGAAGGAAUUCCGCAAAUAUUAGUUCCGCCUGUUUACCAAAAACAUCGCCUCUUGUGAAUCAAUAAGAGGUCUAGCCUGCCCAGUGACUCUGUUCAACGGCCGCGGUAUCCUAACCGUGCAAAGGUAGCGUAAUCACUUGUCCCCUAAAUAGAGACUAGUAUGAAAGGCAUCACGAGAACUAAACUGUCUCCUCCCCCUAAUCAGUGAACCUAAUAACCCCGUGAAGAAGCGGGGAUCUCAAUAUAAGACGAGAAGACCCUAUGGAGCUUAAAACACUACAUCACCUGCCACCCACUUAUCCACCCUGGCACACUGAUUAUAUGUUUUUGGUUGGGGUGACCGCGGAGAAAAACCUAUCCCCCGCGAUAAAGGAAUCCUCCACAAACAGUAAGUCACAACUUCAUGUAUCAGAAAACUGACAUUAUUGACCCAAUAUAUUUGAUCAACGAACCAAGUUACCCUAGGGAUAACAGCGCAAUCCACUUCGAGAGCUCCUAUCGAC
rnacentral:rRNA from 1 species